rnacentral:rRNA from 1 species
GAUGAACGCUCGCGGGAGGCCUAACACAUGCAAGCCGAGCGGUAUUUGUCCUUCGGGACAGAGAGAGCGGCGUACGGGUGCGGAACACGUGUGCAACCUGCCUUUAUCUGGUGGAUAGCCUUUCGAAAGGAAGAUUAAUACCCCAUAAUAUAUCGAAUGGCAUCAUUCGAUAUUGAAAACUCCGGUGGAUAGAGAUGGGCACGCGCAAGAUUAGAUAGUUGGUGAGGUAACGGCUCACCAAGUCAGUGAUCUUUAGGGGGCCUGAGAGGGUGAUCCCCCACACUGGUACUGAGACACGGACCAGACUCCUACGGGAGGCAGCAGUGAGGAAUAUUGGACAAUGGGUGAGAGCCUGAUCCAGCCAUCCCGCGUGAAGGACUAAGGCCCUAUGGGUUGUAAACUUCUUUUAUACUGGGAUAAACCUACUUACGUGUAAGUAGCUGAAGGUACAGUAUGAAUAAGCACCGGCUAACUCCGUG